GUCAUGCAGUGGGCGAUGGAGGUGACGUUCCCCGCGCCUCCGACGAGCGGAAGGAUCGCGGCGGCGGUGGCGUGGUUCUUGUUCUCUGUCAUGGUGCGUGGUGCC
rnacentral:tRNA from 1 species